UACGGAGGGCGCUAGCGUUGCUCGGAAUCACUGGGCGUAAAGGGUGCGUAGGCGGCUCUGUAAGUCGGGUGUGAAAUCCCGGAGCUUAACUCCGGAACUGCAUUCGAUACUGCAGUGCUUGAGUACGGGAGAGGAGAGUGGAAUUUCCGGUGUAGCGGUGAAAUGCGUAGAUAUCGGCAGGAACACCAGUGGCGAAGGCGGCUCCCUGGACCGAUACUGACGCUGAGGCACGAAAGCGUGGGGAGCAAACAGG
rnacentral:rRNA from 1 species